rnacentral:rRNA from 1 species
CACGUAGGGCGCAAGCGUUGUCCGGAAUUAUUGGGCGUAAAGAGCUCGUAGGCGGUCUGUUACGUCUGCUGUGAAAACCCUGGGCUUAACCCUGGGCUUGCAGUGGAUACGGGCAGACUAGAGGCAGGUAGGGGAGAAUGGAAUUCCCGGUGUAGCGGUGAAAUGCGCAGAUAUCAGGAGGAACACCGAUGGCGAAGGCAGGUCUCUGGGCAUUAACUGACGCUGAGGAGCGAAAGCAUGGGGAGCGAACAGG